UACGUAGGGUCCAAGCGUUAAUCGGAAUUACUGGGCGUAAAGCGUGCGCAGGCGGUUUUAUAAGCCAGAUGUGAAAUCCCCGGGCUUAACCUGGGAAUGGCAUUUGGGGCUGUAAGGCUAGAGUACGGCAGAGGAGACUAGAAUUCCUGGUGUAGCAGUGAAAUGCGUAGAUAUCAGGAGGAAUACCGAUGGCGAAGGCAGGUCUCUGGGUCGAUACUGACGCUCAUGCACGAAAGCGUGGGGAGCAAACAGG
rnacentral:rRNA from 1 species